UCUCCGUAGGUGAACCUGCGGAGGGAUCAUUACCGAGCUCAUGCCCUACCGGGUAGAUCUCCCACCCUGUGCUAUUAUUACCUUUGUUGCUUUGGCGGGCCGCCGCUCUCCGGCCUCGCUACCGACUCCGGCUGGUAAGCGCCCGCCAGAGGACCACAAACCCUGAAUGUUAGUGUCGUCUGAGUACUAUAUAAUAGUUAAAACUUUCAACAACGGAUCUCUUGGUUCUG
rnacentral:misc_RNA from 1 species